GCAUAUCAAUAAGCGGAGGAAAAGAAACCAACAGGGAUUGCCCCAGUAACGGCGAGUGAAGCGGCAACAGCUCAAAUUUGAAAGCUGGCUUCGGCCCGCGUUGUAAUUUGGAGAGGAUGCUUUGGGCGAGGCUCCUUCUGAGUUCCCUGGAACGGGACGCCACAGAGGGUGAGAGCCCCGUAUAGUUGGAAGCCAAGCCUGUGUAAAGCUCCUUCGACGAGUCGAGUAGUUUGGGAAUGCUGCUCAAAAUGGGAGGUAAAUUUCUUCUAAAGCUAAAUACCGGCCAGAGACCGAUAGCGCACAAGUAGAGUGAUCGAAAGAUGAAAAGCACUUUGAAAAGAGGGUUAAAUAGCACGUGAAAUUGUUGAAAGGGAAGCGCUUGUGACCAGACUUGCGCCCGGCGGAUCAUCCGGUGUUCUCACCGGUGCACUCCGCCGGGCUCAGGCCAGCAUCGGUUCUGGCGGGGGGAUAAAGGCCCGGGGAAUGUGGCUCCUCCGGGAGUGUUAUAGCCCCGGGUGCAAUACCCUCGCCGGGACCGAGGACCGCGCUCUGCAAGGAUG
rnacentral:rRNA from 1 species